UCUUUUUCUUUUCUUUUCUUUCUCCCCAUGCGUCGAACCCUAAGCUUCCCGAUUCCCUCUCUUCCCUUUCCGAUCUUUUCUCCUCGCAACCGAAACCUCUCUUCUCCUCAUCUCCCUCACACGACGCUGCGCCGCCCCGACCUGUGAGACGCCGGCGCUGACGCUGCCAGCCCUCGACGCCGCUGGCCAUGGGAGGUUCGGUGCCACCUUUCCUCUCCCGAUCUCCUCCUGAAUCCAAAAUCGUCGAUUGUCCUCUCUCGCGUCACCACCGACCGCCAUGGUCCGACGUCAACCAUCGCGAGCCCAACAACCGGUGUAACCCUUUGCCGACCCUCUUUCCCUAUCUCACUAUCAUCGUACCUCUUCCUUCUCCCGAUCAACGCCGACACCCACUCCUUCGGUCGACUGCCAUUUAGUUUUUUUUCCCUCCGAUCAACUGUCGAUGAUCCUUCUUCCAUCUUCGAAUCCAAUGUGUCGCUCCUCUUAUUUGCAGUCCCUGAGCAGCAACGACUACUGCCAUAGCAAGGUCGUCGCCCGAUUUCUCCACUCUACUCAUCUUCAGUCGCUGUCGUGAGCUGUGGUGGGCAUUCUCGGCUAAAUGGUUUGUCAAUUUGGGAGAUCAGGCGUUUAACCAAGCUUCGGCUAUUGAGUUGCGGCAGCAAACGCCUCCGGUCAUGGGUCAACAACGGUGCAAUCAGAUUUGGGACAUUGCUUCGAGACGAGCAUCACGACAUGGGAUUUGUUCCAAUAUGAACUACUAAUUAAGGCGAGUACCUUUGACUUAUCUUUUGAUAUUGUCUUUCUGAUAUGUUUAUUAGGUUAUAACUAUUGGAACCCCAAGGUUGUUUUGGUGUGAUCAACAAGUUAAGUUAGGUUCUGCGUUGUUUCUAACCUUGUGUCUAAG